rnacentral:rRNA from 1 species
GAUGAACGCUGGCGGCGUGCUUAACACAUGCAAGUCGAACGGGAAUUACUUUAUUGAAACUUCGGUCGAUUUAAUUUAAUUCUAGUGGCGGACGGGUGAGUAACGCGUGGGUAACCUGCCUUAUACAGGGGGAUAACAGUCAGAAAUGGCUGCUAAUACCGCAUAAGCGCACAGAGCUGCAUGGCUCAGUGUGAAAAACUCCGGUGGUAUAAGAUGGACCCGCGUUGGAUUAGCUUGUUGGUGGGGUAACGGCCCACCAAGGCGACGAUCCAUAGCCGGCCUGAGAGGGUGAACGGCCACAUUGGGACUGAGACACGGCCCAGGCUCCUACGGGAGGCAGCAGUGGGGAAUAUUGCACAAUGGGGGGAAACCCUGAUGCAGCGACGCCGCGUGAAGGAAGAAGUAUCUCGGUAUGUAAACUUCUAUCAGCAGGGAAGAUAGUGACGGUACCUGACUAAGAAGCCCCGGCUAACUACGUGCCAGCAGCCGCCGCGG